GGACAGAGGACAGAGGACACACAGUUUAACAUGAUGGACUAUAGGACAGGACUGCUGCUGCUCACUGUCUGCUGGGCAGGUGUUGAUGGUCAGACUCUGACAGAAUCUGAACCAGUGACUAAAAGGCCUGGAGAAUCUCACAGAUUGACCUGUACAGCCUCUGGAUUCACAUUCAGUAGCUCCUACAUGGCCUGGGUCAGACAGGCUCCUGGGAAAGGACUGGAGUGGAUCGCUUAUAUCUACACUGAUGGUAGCAACCAGUUCUACUCUGAGUCAGUGAAAGGCCGGUUCACCAUCUCCAGAGACAACAACAGACAGCAGCUGUAUCUGCAGAUGAACAGUCUGACGGCUGUAGACUCUGCUGUUUAUUACUGUGCUCGAGACGCACAGUGA